rnacentral:lncRNA from 1 species
CCCAGCUCAAGCCCAAACCAAGGUGGUACAUGCAGUCCCUUUACAAGCAGCCAUCCCAUUAAUGAGCCCAGUAGUAAUGCCAGCUCCAGCUCAAUCAGCCCAUGUGUCUGCACCAGCUCCAGCAUCAACUACUAUUAUCAAAAAGAAGGUACCACCCCCUCCUCCCCCUCGGUCUACUUCAGUGACAUUACCUGAGCCUAACACAAAGCUGCCACUUGUAAGGACUGUCCAGCAUGUCACCCCUACUAUAAGCCACACCAUAGAUAGGGGAACCACAGUGGCUGACCAUCCAAUGCGGUCUGUAUUUGUGGAUAUACAGCCAAGAAUGGAAGACAUACAAUCAGAUAGUGUGGCUGUACCUCAAGUAGUGAGCCCAACCAGACAGGGGCAUGUUGUCAUCAUAGUGCCAAGUGUAGAAAACAUAUCUCUGCUUGGCCAAACCCAACACGAUAUAUCUAGCACAAUAGCUGCCACUGCUUCUCUGCCACAAAGUAGUCAAAUAGCUUCAGAUAUACCCAGCACAGAUACAGCUGCACUAUCCACUAAGGUGUCAGCAGUGUCAGUAGCUUCUGCUCCACCACUUCCGCCUAAACCUAUGGCAGGGACAAAAGUUAUGGACACAGUAGAAAUACCUGUAGCAGAUACACCUCCGCCACCUCCAACCACUUUAUCCAAGCCAACUGUUUAUCCAAAGCAGUUGGUUUCCACUGCAGUGACGAUUGCUACAGCAACAGUAGCACAAGUUUCUGAUACAACAACUAGCCCUAGUCAAACCGCCAAGCCUCCUCCACCCAUACCACCUAAACCUAUAUCAAUUCCAGCUGGACUGGUUUUCAGCCACAAGCCAGGAGAGAGUGUCAAGCCACCUCCCCCUCCUGUGGCCCCCAAAGCUGCAACACUACCCAGGACCAAAGAACCUCCAAAUGCUCUGUCACUAAGCCUGACACGACCUGUGGAAUCUAAGUUGGGUGCAACAUCUCCUAAGUCUCCUUUGUCUCCUAGACAUGCAAAAUGUUUGCAAACCUAUGUGGUGAUAACCCUUCCAUCUGAGCCUGGCUCACCUACAGAGGGCAUAACAGUCCAGGCACCUGUAAGACAAGGCUCCAUCCCAUCUACAAAAGUGUCAGGGGUACGGACCACACCUUCAGAGCAGAAAACACCCACUGAGGCAUUCUCGGCACAGGCUACAGUUAGGCGAGCCUCUGUCCCGACUGUAAAGUAUCCACCUCCAAUAUUUAUAGCUCCAACAGUGGCAGUACAGCAAGUGCCACCCUCUGAAGAAGUGGCUAAUACAGUGCAAGCCAGGAGAGACUUAGUGCCACAGACAUCUGUCACUGAUGUCACGGUAGUGUCAUCAGGUCAGGACGCAUCUAUUCAGG